rnacentral:rRNA from 1 species
UACAGAGGGUGCAAGCGUUAAUCGGACUUAUUGGGCGUAAAGGGCGCGUAGGCGGUUUUAUAAGUGGGUUGUGAAAUACUUGGGCUCAACCUGAGGAUUGCAAUCCAGACUGUAGAGCUAGAAUACAGCAGAGGGAAGUGGAAUUUCCGGUGUAGCGGUGAAAUGCGUAGAUAUCGGAAAGAACAUCAAUGGCGAAGGCAGCUUCCUGGGCUGAUAUUGACGCUGAGGAGCGAAAGCCAGGGGAGCAAACGGG